rnacentral:rRNA from 1 species
CUCAGGUACUGACUACCCGCUGAGACUCAAGCAUAUCAAUAAGCGGAGGAAAAGAUCUCAACAUGUAUUGCCUCAGUAACCGCGAGUGAAGCGGCAAAAGCUCAAAUGUGAAAUCCUUCGGGAGUUGUAAUUUGUAGGGAGGGGAGCCCCCGCGGGCUAGUGGCACCAAGUCUCUUGGAACAGGGCGCCUUAGAGGGUGAGAGCCCCGUAGCUACCACAAUAUCGUCUUGUGUCUCCUCUCCAAAGAGUCGAGUUGUUUGGGAAAGCAGCUCAAGUUGGGGUGUAAUUUCCAUCCAAAUCUAAAUUUCGGCGAGAGACCGAUAGCGAACAAGUACAGUGAUGGAAAGAUGAAAAGCACUUUGAAAAGAGAGUGAAACAGUACGUGAAAUUGUUGAAAGGGAAGGGCUUGCUUGCAGUCUCCGCCUUCGUGCCGGGCCAGCAUCGGUUGCUAGGGGUGGAUAAGGAACAAGGAAUGUAGCUCCUCGGAGUAUUAUACCUUGCGCGAUACACCCGCUGCGACCGAGGGCU